UAGGGCGAAAGCCUGAAGCAGCAACGCCGCGUGCGUGAUGAAGGUCUUCGGAUCGUAAAGCGCUUUUCUGGGAGAUGAGAAAGGACAGUAUCCCAGGAAUAAGUCUCGGCUAACUACGUGCCAGCAGCCGCGGUAAAACGUAGGAGGCAAGCGUUAUCCGGAUUCACUGGGCGUAAAGCGCGUGCAGGCGGUGCGGUAAGUUGGGUGUGAAAUCUCCCGGCUCAACUGGGAGAGGUCAUUCAAUACUACCGUACUCGAGAGUAGAAGAGGAAGAUGGAAUUCCCGGUGUAGUGGUGAAAUGCGUAGAUAUCGGGAGGAACACCAGUGGCGAAGGCGAUCUUCUGGUCUAUUUCUGACGCUCAGACGCGACAGCUAGGGUAGUAAACGGGAUUAGAGACCCCGGUAAUCCUAGCCGUAAACGAUGUGAACUUGGCGUUGGUGGGUUAAACUCCAUCAGUGCCGCAGCAAACGUGAUAAGUUCACCGCCUGGGGACUACGGCCGCAAGGUUA
rnacentral:rRNA from 1 species